AUUAACGUGACAGGAAGUACAACACUGCAGGAGGGAAAAUUAAUAUAGCUAGGCUAACUUGGUCCGAAAUUAGCAUUUGAGGAUGAUAACUGAAAGUUUUUGUGACUUGAAGUUUACACUAGCAGUUUCGUCAGAUAGUGCGACACCUUAUGAAAUGUUGUGUGACAAGAUAAAUGUAAUAAUUUAAGAUUGUUGUACGUUGUUGGACAUAUCACCGGUUAACGUCGAGUAGCUAACGGCUAACGUUGAUUAGCUAACGGUUAACGUUGAUUAGCUAACGGCUAACGUUGAUUAGCUAACGGUUAACGUUGAUUAGCUAACGGUUAGCGUUGAGUAGCUAACGGUUGACGUUGGACCGGUAUCGUCUGUCCUGUAAAGACUGGACCUGUUGCUCUCUGUUGGGACUUCAAAGCUAUUACCAUGCAUUCGAUUUUUGGGCCAACAAACACAAUUAACAGACGCCUGGCAAGUUACACAUUGACCUAGCUUGCUUCUGCGAGAAACCAAACCAAGUGCACUGAAUAGGAAACUACCCUGAUAAGAUUCACUGACUUCUUCGAUUUAUCAAGUGUCGGGCAGGAGGCAAUUGUUUUACCAGCUGUUACCUGAAAAGUCCACGAGGUGGGGGAUCCAUGACGGGCACACCGCCCUCCUCCAUUGUGAGCUGCAGGCGCUGACACUGCGGCUGCAUGGUCAGAGCCUCAGGGAUGGCCUCCAGCAGCUCACGGUGGCUCUUGGGGCAGCU